UGGGGAAUUUUGGACAAUGGGCGAAAGCCUGAUCCAGCAAUGCCGCGUGUGUGAUGAAGGCCUUCGGGUUGUAAAGCACUUUUAGUGGGAACGAAACGGUCCGGGCUAAUACCCUGGACUAAUGACGGUACCCGCAGAAUAAGCACCGGCUGACUACGUGCCAGCAGCCGCGGUAAUACGUAGGGGGCGAGCGUUGUCCGGAUUUAUUGGGCGGAAAGAGCUCGUAGGCGGUUUGGCAAGUCGGGUGUGAAAACUCCGGGCUCAACUCGGAGGCGCCACUCGAUACUGCUAUGACUCGAGUCCGGUAGGGGAGUGCGGAAUUCCUGGUGUAGCGGUGAAAUGCGCAGAUAUCAGGAGGAACACCGGUGGCGAAGGCGGCACUCUGGGCCGGAACUGACGCUGAGGAGCGAAAGCGUGGGGAGCGAA
rnacentral:rRNA from 1 species